rnacentral:rRNA from 1 species
GCAGUCGUACGAGAGUUUUUAACUCAAGUGGCGGACGGGUGAGUAACACGUAAGAAUUUGCCUCUAGGAGGGGGAUAACAACUGGAAACGGUUGCUAAUACCCCAUAUGCUUUCGAGUGAAAUGGAUUUCCGCCUAGAGAGAAGCUUGCGGCUGAUUAGCUUGUUGGUGAGGUAAUGGCUCACCAAGGCGACGAUCAGUAUCUGGUUUGAGAGGACGAUCAGACACACUGGAACUGAGACACGGUCCAGACUCCUACGGGAGGCAGCAGUGGGGAAUUUUCCGCAAUGGGCGAAAGCCUGACGGAGCAAUACCGCGUGAGGGAUGACGGCCUAUGGGUUGUAAACCUCUUUUUUCAGGGAGGAAUCAAUGACGUGUACCUGAAGAAUAAGCAUCGGCUAACUCCGUGCCAGCAGCCGCGGUAAGACGGAGGAUGCAAGUGUUAUCCGGAAUCACUGGGCGUAAAGCGUCUGUAGGUGGUUUAAUAAGUCAACUGUUAAAUCUUGAGGCUCAACCUCAAAAUCGCAGUCGAAACUAUUAGACUAGAGUAUAGUAGGGGUAAAGGGAAUUUCCAGUGGAGCGGUGAAAUGCGUAGAUAUUGGAAGGAACACCGAUGGCGAAGGCACUUUACUGGGCUAUUACUAACACUCAGAGACGAAAGCUAGGGUAGCAAAUGGGAUUAGAUACCCUGGUAGUCCCCU